rnacentral:rRNA from 1 species
AUGAGGGGUCAUUCCCCUGAUGACUUUACUUACGACCUGCGGUAUGAGCCUUACGUUCAGAGAUUGGGUCUUCUCCCAUUCGUGUUGCAGUUUAAGCGACGCGCUCCACCAAUGAACCAUGCGGCGCUAAUCGCACUUGUGGAUCGUUGGAGGCUGGAGACUCACUCGUUCCACCUUCCAUGUGGGGAGAUGACGAUGACCCUACAAGACAUGGCUAUGAUAAGCGGCCUUCCUAUCAACGGACAAGCUGUUAUCGGUCGUGUCAGCGUCGGUAAUUGGCGAGAACGGACUGGCAAUUUAAUUGGUGUUCAGCCCGACGGCCCUCAGGAAGGCAAGGCCGAUACAAUGAGAGUGAGGCCUUCUUGGCUAAAACUAGUCAGAGGAAACACCAAUCCGUGUCCUCAGGGUGCCAAUGACGUGGUUGUGCAGCAGUACACGCGGGCCUAUCUUUGGUAUGUACUAACCAAGGUAGUCUUCUCAGAUGCAACCGGGAACUCAGCCCUCUGGAUGUUCCUGGAGCUACUCAAUAACUGGGAUACCCAGUAUAGCUAG